CGUGUGUUGUGUUCACUCUGUUGUGUACGUUAAAGCGCUGUGGUGCAGAGAAGCCUCAUUAAUAGCCGCGGGAAAGACAAAGUUGGCGGGUUGGCUGUUUCCGCUGAGUAACAGAGCGCGUUGGAUAUGUGAAGCGUUAUGGAAUUGACAUUAAAACGGCUAGGAAGCGAAGGGGAAUUUUUGCGCUUGUAAAAGAAUUUUAUAACCUAUCGAGUAUAUGAUGUUACGGUGAGCUUUGAACUCACUAUCUUUUACCUACGUGAAAA